CAGUGUUCUAUUUUCUAAUGAUUAGCAGCAUAGAUAAACGGUUCUAAAGGAUUGUUGCAUAGUAAAUUUCCAGCUCCAGAUGUGUGAAUCAAGACAAGCCAGUAUACAAAUAAAUUUCUAUAGAACAGAUUGUGUUAAUUUAAGAGUGGUUCAGGUCUUGAGACAACUGGUGUAUGUGUCUUUACUAUAAGAAACGGCAAAUAAAUCUAAUUCUAAACUAUUAGCUUUCAGUAUAAAUCUGCAUAUCACUUGCAAGGCAACAGCAAACGUAAAUGUAAAAAAGAACUCAAUAGCACAAAAUAUGAACUCCAAAACACCACAUGAACGGGGCUUACCUAUUGGAGGAGUAAUGAAACCCUAAAGCCUG
rnacentral:lncRNA from 1 species